ACUUACGUCCAUACCACCCUGUCUACGCCCGACCUCGUCUGAUCUCAGAGAUUAAGAAGGGUCGGGCCUGGUUAGUACUUGGAUGGGAGACCGCCUGGGAAUACCAGGUGCUGUAAGCU
rnacentral:rRNA from 1 species